rnacentral:rRNA from 1 species
CCUACGGGAGGCAGCAGUGAGGAAUAUUGGUCAAUGGGCGGAAGCCUGAACAAGCCAAGUCGCGUAGGGGAAUAAGGCUUUCGGGUUGUAAACUUCUUUUGUCGGGGAAGAGUGGAAGACGGUACCUAACGAUUAAGCAACGGCUAACUACGUGCCAGAAGCCGCGGUAAUACGUAGGUGGCAAGCGUUGUCCGGAUUUACUGGGUGUAAAGGGCGUGUAGCCGGGUUGACAAGUCAGAUGUGAAAUCCUGCGGCUUAACCGCAGAACUGCAUUUGAAACUGUUGAUCUUGAGUACUGGAGAGGCAGACGGAAUUCCUAGUGUAGCGGUGAAAUGCGUAGAUAUUAGGAGGAACACCAGUGGCGAAGGCGGUCUGCUGGACAGCAACUGACGGUGAGGCGCGAAAGCGUGGGGAGCAAACAGGAUUAGAUACCCCAGUAGUC